rnacentral:rRNA from 1 species
AUGUGGUGGAGGCCCAGCGGCGCGGCUUCCUGCGGGUGCCAUGGCGUUGGGUGGGCUCCUGUGCACAUCCGAGAGAGAGGUGAGAGCAGAGAAAUCACUACCGUUCCAAGGUCUCUGGUCUGGGAGCUUGUGAAGAAGAGCAAGUGCUUCUUGAUCAAGCAAUUUGGCAACAACAACGCCAAGGUCCAGUUUCACAAGCCCAACAACCUCUACAAUGUCCACUACUACAAGUUCUCAGGCUUAGCAAACAGCAAGACCGUGGCGGUCCAGCCAUCAGCGGGAGAGGAGAAGGCUGUUGUCCUGUCCACAAGCAAGACCAAGAAGAAGGACACCCAUGCCAAGCUGUUGCACAAGACUCUAAUGCGCAAGCAGUUCUGCAAGAUGGCCAAGUAUGUCCAGAACCAGGGUUGCGACCUUGCGAAUAGACCAAGGGUUGCGUGGAGAGUCCAGCUCCUUUGAAAGCACGUACAUAGACAGCUCAGGCCCAUUAGGCCCCCAAUUUAA